rnacentral:lncRNA from 1 species
AGACCCAAUAUGAUAUACAAACUUAUAUAUGUGACAUACAGGCCUAUAAGGCCGACAUGACCAUUUGUAAACUCAAAACAUAGACCGAUAAGACAAUACAAGUCUCCAUACACCUGACACAUGUCUAAAAACCUCUAAGAGUACAUAAAAUCAUAAAGGUUGGAACAGGGCCCCGCUAUAUCAAUCAAUACAUAUCCAAAGCAUACUGACCAAAUAGGCAACUCCGGAGCAAGUGGAGUACACCAAAACCUUUGAUGAGCUGAUAGCCUACUUAGAAGACUAUCAACCUAUCAAUUGAGACCUGCUGGCAUGAAACACGGCAUCCCCAGGCAAAAUGGAUGUCAAUUCGAAUAAAGUACCAAGUAUGUAAGACAAGAAAACAUAAACGAGAUCAGUAACGUGAAGUGAGAUAGAGAAGAUAGUGCAUCUGGAGGCUACUGAUAUGAAAUGUAUAAUUCGUAUAUACAUAUACCUUUUAAAAACAUUCGCCUCUAUGGGCAUUAUCAUCAUCAUAUCGUACCCGACCUCAAAGAGGACCUGGUAAAAACAUACCCGGCCAUCAUAAGUCUCGGUAGAAUCGUACCCGGCCAUGUGAAGCUCGUAAACCCAACUGAUCAGUGGUUGCACAAUAGGUUCCAUACCCGGCCGACUAUAGCGUGGCUCGGUAAAGUAAAAUGGAUAUAUAUAUAAUGCAUACUCGACUAGCGGAAUCACAUUCUAAACCUUUUGGAGUGACUUAAGAACAUUAUGGACAUCCUUACCCUCAAUAUGAACCUUAAUAGGAUUCAAAGAUCAUACACACUUGUUUAAAAUAAUUUUAUAAGGAAAGAACAACAUGGACAACCUUAGUUGCUAGGAGUAGAUUAGUUAUGAAGUAGCGUAUUCAUUUCGGUUUAUAUCAUGCCAAAAGAAAGAAGGAAGUGCCUUAACAUACCUAAACCAAUUCCCUUGAAAAAGAUUUCACCGUACUCCCAUUAACUACAUUGGCCUUAAUCCACCUUCUUCUUUAUUGACUACAUGUACUUUUUGAGCUCCUUUAUCCACAAACCUCCGAAUUCAC